rnacentral:rRNA from 1 species
AACGGCCGUACCAUGCUGAAUAUACCGGUUCUCGUUAGAUCACCGAAGUUAAGCAUCAUUGGGCGCGGUCAGUACUUGGGUGGGUGACCACCUGGGAACAUG